CUCUUUUUAUUUUUUUGUGGUGUUCAAUUUGAUAAUGACAUUGAAGUUCAUGACUAUGCAAAUGCGAGUGGCGUUUUCCAUGUUCCGAUGGACGGAGGGAGUUUAGGCCUUGAUCUCUGGGGAUCAACAUUGUCCAGACUCUAUUAUGGAUGCAGUAAUGCCAGCAAUAAGUUUGUGACAGCGGAAAUUGUCACACAACCCAAUCAUUAUCUCCUGAUCGC